UCAUUAAAGGCGUGCAUCCAGAGGACGGUCACCUCAAAGUGUCUCUGAACCUUCGAAGCAGUGUACUCACUAUGCCAAACUUCGUGCAAAAGGGUUUAGUCUUCCCGCGUUUAAACGGUUCGUUUCAGGUGUCACACGAUCGUGUAUUGAUUAUUUUUUUCUUGUACAGACUAUAGAACUGUAUGUACGCAUGUAUUCAUACAAUUGUAUUGCAAAUACUUCAUUACGCAAAGACACACUGAUGUUUAUUGUUAUUGGAACAGAUGUAACGUACAAUGCAUUAAUAUGCACAUAUCACUUUGCGUUACAAUAGUAUUACAAUCGAGUGAAAAAUAAUAAGUUUCAGGUCAACAAUAAGACUUACAAUAGAAGAUACACGUACAUACUCGUAUACGCAACUAUUACAGUAUCUAACUCUAAAGACUAAGUAAAAUAGAAUAACACGUCGUUAAAAUAAAAUCAAUAAUAAAUUUGUAGGAAGUGAGAAUGGUACCACGAGGUCAUCGGCAUCUUGACUUCAAAUUACGUAGAACUUUAUAAAAAUAACUCACUCAUUGUUAUAAAAUUGGAAACUAUUAAAAAUUAAAUUUUGUAAAUAAAUGUAUAUAACUUUCUUUAAAAAUUCAUAUGUUUUAAAAAAUAGAGAGACAUAUAUUUAAACAACAUAGUUCAUAGGAAGAAUUACGCCAAAAAUUAUGAAAAUUGUUUACAUUGGUGACACUUAAGUCUACCAUUUACUUUAUCGUAGAUACAUCCCUGCGCCUUGUGUCUGCGCAUGCGCGUAUCUGUACGCACGAAGAGGUACUCGACUAAUCGCAUCGGGUGCCCCGGCCACGCUUCCCGCUCUUCGUUUCCUCGUGUUAUUUAGUGAACGUCUUUACGUUCUUUUCCGAAUUCCUGUCAUUUUGUGGUUACCCAAACGUCACGCGAUGCCUUUGAAUUUUGCGCAUUAGUUAUAAUCGUAUAUAUUAAAGACAUCCUCUGGGUAUAUAGAAUUUCUGCGCAUCAAUACGUUCGUGCAACGUCAACCUAACCCCCAAUAAGUGCAGGAGCCACGGACCUGACAUUCCAUUACGAUGUAUAAGGCUUUCCUCCAGGUAUCCGUGGUGCUAUAACCCCAUUUUCCUUUCUCUUUCUUGUUCUAAUACACAUAUGCGUAUGCAUACUCAUUUUCAUUUCCUAUUACGAUUACUUUUUCGUUAUUUGGUUAUGAUUCGACUCGAGGUCAUCUCUAGCUUGUUAAGUUUGUACAGAUGUAGAAACUCUGUUGCUUCGAGUUCAUAGAUAUUAAUAAAUAAAAUUAAAAAAGAGUUAUGGUAUUCGAUUUUUAUCGUUUUAAUUUAGUAUUUGAACAACAUAUGUUGAUUCGUGGCGUUGGAUCGCAAUAAAAGUUAAUUAGGAAUACAGAUAUUAAUGUACGAGAUUUUUAAACAACUUUCUACUCGACGUUGAAAUGAUUGUUGUAACGAAAAUUUUAUUAAAGAAAAACGGUUUUAUUCAAAUUGCGUACUAAUAUAUCUUGGUUUAAUUUUUAAUUUAUUCAACUAUGACUCAACUAUGUAUAUUACUUUCAUAUCUUAUUUCAUAUUUUAUUUCAUAUUUUACUAAUAUUUUUUAUUGUAAUACGAAAUAAACAGCGAAAUAAGAAAGUGUAUAUUAUCAGUCUUUUUACAAACUUGAUAAAAAAAAUGCUUGGUUUUAUAUAUUAUUAAUCAAACACUCAGAUAUAUACCCUUCGAAGGUUCCAAGAGGAAUAGCCCUGCUGAACAUUUUACGAUUGUACAAUGCUUGCUUACUUACUUGUAAACGUCAAUGAACGCAUGCGCAUAAGAGAGUACCGUGAAUAGUCUGUCAUCAGGAUCGUAUAUAAGAUGGAGACACAAAAGAGGGAAACAUACCCAAAAUAUAGUAAAAAUAAUUUAUCUCAAUUUCAUUAGUAAAAUUUACGACUUGUUCAAGUGAUUAUAUCAUUUCACACGUCAUAAGGAGUUAAAAAUAGAUUAAACGUUUUAGGAGAUGAAAGAACGUUAUUCUAUAACAAAGUUAUUGAUUUUUUAAUAUUCUAUAAAAACCUACUGCUUGAUAUAUUAAUAUUAUUUUUUCAAUGAAAAUUUACAGAUUAUGUAGGCAUCAUAAACUUUGAUCUAUCUCAUUAACUUUCUUGCGGUGAUCUAUCGCGCUGUUAUAUUUAUUACCUCUUACAAUUACGUAUAAACGUAUAAGCAAAUUUAAUAUUUAUUCAAGAAAAGAUAACAUGUGCUAAUAGUCUGACGCGCAAUGUUCUACAAUUCAUUCAAAUGUUUUAUGCCAACAGAACUAUUAUAUAUCUAUAUUCGUUGUUGUAUACUAUGCAUCGUAAAUAAUUUGAAAGAAUAUGUAUGUACUUAGUAAGUAACAGCUUGUACAUUUGAAUUUGCACUUAAUGAGCUCUCAGUGAUCUACGGAUAACUGAGUUCGGAGCACCUGGCGCACAGCCAAUGCGGUUGAGAAAAACGUGUUAGUAUCACUAACAUCUUUCAUUAAGGACAGAUACAUAUUGUACAUACAUAUAUGUAUGUAUUCUUUGUAUUUCGUAUAUAACAAUUUUAUAUUUAAAGAAUUCAUAUAAUAAUUUUUGAACAAUAUGUAUUGUUAAAUAUAUAUAUGAUGUAUUUAUUAUAUUUAAUAUAAAAACUUUUUUCUAUUUUUUUCAUUUUUCUAUGGAAUGUCAAAAAUUUCGCGGGUUUAAUGUACACGAAAAUGUAUUCUCAUCAUAUUCGUAGUUGAAUAAUAUAUAAAUAAUGUUAAUAAUUAAUUUACAAGAGAUUCAGCCAUGCAUUUGCUACGAUAUUGAUUCGUUACAUUGGAAUUAAUAUGAUAAUUCAUCGCAUAACGGGUUAUAAAUGGAAGAAUAAUAUAAUGAUGCUUAUCGAACUGAGUAUAGUAUAUGUAUUGCGGUUAAAUAAAAAAUUAUCAUUAUUAUGUAUAAUUGCUAAUUACAUGUUUUUACGUAGGUGAAAUACGAUAUUAGUGACAAUAUGUAUACAUAUUUCAGCCGAUUAAUUUUAAAAUGAUGUACGGGAAAAUGGUUAAUUUACAAAGGGUUAUAAUAUAGUGUAAUUGUCACACAAUAAUAGCUUAGUUCGCGAAAAAAUUCGAUAAAUUUCAAUAAUUUAAUCUAAUCGACAUUAAAGAAUAAUAGAAGCACAUCAAAUAAUUACAUGAAAUUCCUGAAUCUAAUAUUUCUGCUUCUAAGUGUUACUAUUAAAUAUUCACGUUUUUCUAUCUAUAUAUAUAAUCUAUGCACAUAAUUAGUCCUCACGAAGUAACUUAAUGAGAUUAAGCUUACUAUUAGUCAUAUCUAUAUUAAAAAUUCUUGGAUACUUAGCAACAGUAUUGAAUUACUAAAAUCAUUAAAAUAAAACAGAUAUACACAAUUCUAUAGAGGUGUAUAUGGGAAAUUUAAUAUUAAUUGUGUUUUAACUUAUGCACAUUCAUACUUUUAAUAGAGACAUAGUAUGCAAUAUAUUUAAUGUUUAAAAUUUAAAUAAUAUGGUUUAUUGUAUACGUGUAUAUGAAAUGCAUAUAUUAAGAAAUUCUGAAUUUUCAUUGGUUAUUAUAUCAAACAAGAAAUUAAACAGUUGUUAUGCAAUUGAUUAUAUUUAGUUAGAAUAUUUCUUAUGUUUAUUGUGACAAGUAGUGUAAAAAGUUGAGUGUAAAUAAUUAUUCUUUAUAUUAAGAAUAAGAUAUUCGUUGUAUGAAUCAGAUAAAGGUAAUGUGUUUCAAUUAUUUGAUUCUACGAUAUGACUAUGACAUAGUAUAAAUGGCAUAAAUUACUUUUCGCCAAUAUUUAUCAAAAUUGAAACAUUUCAUAUUUUUAAAUAUUGAUAUAAUUUAUAUAACGAUUAAAGAUCUUAUGAUUUGAAAUUUAGAAUUAUUUGUACUACAUAACUUACCAAUAAUUAUAUUAUCAUUGCAGCCUUAUUUCCUGUGAUACAUCUCAAAAGGAUUAAAAUAUUAUAUUUGUAAUAGAUGGACUCAAUUAUUAAUUAGGAAAUGUUGCUCUAUAUAAAAAAUUUCUAAACAUAAAAUAUAGGGAAAUAUAGAAAUUCUGGCACACGUUCUCAAUACUUUAAAAUUGUUUAACAGUAACUGAAGUAUAAAAUGUAAACAGUACCAAUAAAACUUUUUGUCAAUGCAAUAA